rnacentral:rRNA from 1 species
GACGAACGCUGGCGGCGUGCUUAACACAUGCAAGUCGAGCGGUAAGGCCCUUUCGGGGGUACGACGAGCGGCGAACGGGUGAGUAACACGUGGGUGACCUGCCUCUAGCUCUGGGAUAAGCCUGGGAAGCUGGGUCUAAUACCGGAUAUGACCUCGCGGUGCAUGUUGCGGGGUGGAAAGCCUUGUGCGGCUAGGGAUGGGCCCGCGGCCUAUCAGCUUGUUGGUGGGGUGAUGGCCUACCAAGGCGACGACGGGUAGCCGGCCUGAGAGGGCGGACCGGCC